GACGAACGCUGGCGGCGUGCUUAACACAUGCAAGUCGAACGGAAAGGCCCUGCUUUUGUGGGGUGCUCGAGUGGCGAACGGGUGAGUAACACGUGAGUAACCUGCCCUUGACUUUGGGAUAACUUCAGGAAACUGGGGCUAAUACCGGAUAGGAGCUCCUGCUGCAUGGUGGGGGUUGGAAAGUUUCGGCGGUUGGGGAUGGACUCGCGGCUUAUCAGCUUGUUGGUGGGGUAGUGGCUUACCAAGGCUUUGACGGGUAGCCGGCCUGAGAGGGUGACCGGCCACAUUGGGACUGAGAUACGGCCCAGACUCCUACGGGAGGCAGCAGUGGGGAAUAUUGCACAGUGGGCGGAAGCCUGAUGCAGCAACGCCGCGUGCGGGAUGACGGCCUUCGGGUUGUAAACCGCUUUCGCCUGUGACGAAGCGUGAGUGACGGUAAUGGGUAAAGAAGCACCGGCUAACUACGUGCCAGCAGCCGCGGUGAUACGUAGGGUGCGAGCGUUGUCCGGAUUUAUUGGGCGUAAAGGGCUCGUAGGUGGUUGAUCGCGUCGGAAGUGUAAUCUUGGGGCUUAACCCUGAGCGUGCUUUCGAUACGGGUUGACUUGAGGAAGGUAGGGGAGAAUGGAAUUCCUGGUGGAGCGGUGGAAUGCGCAGAUAUCAGGAGGAACACCAGUGGCGAAGGCGGUUCUCUGGGCCUUUCCUGACGCUGAGGAGCGAAAGCGUGGGGAGCGAACAGGCUUAGAUACCCUGGUAGUCCACGCUGUAAACGGUGGGUACUAGGUGUGGGGUCCAUUCCACGGGUUCCGUGCCGUAGCUAACGCUUUAAGUACCCCGCCUGGGGAGUACGGCCGCAAGGCUAAAACUCAAAGGAAUUGACGGGGCCCCGCACAAGCGGCGGAGCAUGCGGAUUAAUUCGAUGCAACGCGUAGAACCUUACCUGGGUUUGACAUGGAUCGGGAGUGCUCAGAGAUGGGUGUGCCUCUUUUGGGGUCGGUUCACAGGUGGUGCAUGGCUGUCGUCAGCUCGUGUCGUGAGAUGUUGGGUUAAGUCCCGCAACGAGCGCAACCCUUGUUCACUGUUGCCAGCACGUUAUGGUGGGGACUCAGUGGAGACCGCCGGGGUCAACUCGGAGGAAGGUGGGGAUGACGUCAAGUCAUCAUGCCCCUUAUGUCCAGGGCUUCACGCAUGCUACAAUGGCUGGUACAGAGAGUGGCGAGCCUGUGAGGGUGAGCGAAUCUCGGAAAGCCGGUCUCAGUUCGGAUUGGGGUCCGCAACUCGACCUCAUGAAGUCGGAGUCGCUAGUAAUCGCAGAUCAGCAACGCUGCGGUGAAUACGUUCCCGGGGCU
rnacentral:rRNA from 1 species